AGUGAACGCUGGCGGUAGGCCUAACACAUGCAAGUCGAACGGCAGCACAGUAAGAGCUUGCUCUUACGGGUGGCGAGUGGCGGACGGGUGAGGAAUACAUCGGAAUCUACUUUUUCGUGGGGGAUAACGUAGGGAAACUUACGCUAAUACCGCAUACGACCUACGGGUGAAAGCAGGGGAUCUUCGGACCUUGCGCGAUUGAAUGAGCCGAUGUCGGAUUAGCUAGUUGGCGGGGUAAAGGCCCACCAAGGCGACGAUCCGUAGCUGGUCUGAGAGGAUGGGACCGCCCCCCUGAACAGAAGCACGGGUCCGGCCCCCCUCGGGGGGGAGGCGGGGGGAAUUUUGACCAAGGGGGGGAAGCCUGCCCCAGCCAUCCCGGGGGGGUGAAGAAGGCCUGCGGUUUGGAAAGCCCUUUUGUUGGAAAAGAAAAGAAGGAGGUUAACCCCCCGCUUUUUGGCCGGACCCCAAAAAAAAAGCCCCGCCAACUUCGUG
rnacentral:rRNA from 1 species